CUACGGGGGGCAGCAGGCGCGAAACCUCUACAAUGCACGAAAGUGUGAUAGGGGGAUUCUCAGUGCUCAAGUUAUGCUUGGGCUUUUGCCAAGAGUAAGUAUCUUGGAGAAUAAGUGGUGGGCAAGACCGGUGCCAGCCGCCGCGGUAAUACCGGCGCCACAAGUGGCAAUCACGAUUAUUGGGCCUAAAGCGUUCGUAGCCGGUUUAGUAAAUUCUUUGUGAAAUCGUACAGCUCAACUGUACGGCGUGCAGGGAACACUGCUAAACUAGAGACCGGGAGGAGUCAGAGGUAUGCUGGGGGGACCGGUAAAAUGGGAUAAUCCUCAGUAGACCACCGAUGGCGAAGGCAUCUGACCAGAACGGAUCUGACGGUGAGGGACGAAAGCCAGGGGAGCGAUCCGGAUUAGAUACCCCGGUAGUC
rnacentral:rRNA from 1 species